rnacentral:rRNA from 1 species
UACGUAGGGGGCUAGCGUUGUCCGGAUUUAUUGGGCGUAAAGAGCGUGUAGGCGGCCUGGUAGGUCUGCUGUGAAAACUCGAGGCUCAACCUCGAGAUGUCGGCGGAAACCAUCUGGCUAGAGUCCGGAAGAGGAGAGUGGAAUUCCUGGUGUAGCGGUGAAAUGCGCAGAUAUCAGGAAGAACACCUAUGGCGAAGGCAGCUCUCUGGGACGGUACUGACGCUGAGGCGCGAAAGCGUGGGGAGCGAACAGG